rnacentral:rRNA from 1 species
AUUGAACGCUGGCGGCAUGCCUAACACAUGCAAGUCGAACGAGGGUAGCAAUACCUUAGUGGCGGACGGGUGAGGAAUACAUAGGAAUUUGCCCUUAAGUGGGGGAUAGCCCGGGGAAACCCGGAUUAAUACCGCAUGAACUCGUGAGAGCAAAGUCGGGGACCUUCGGGCCUGGCGCUUUUGGAGAAGCCUAUGUCGGAUUAGCUAGUUGGUGAGGUAAUGGCUCACCAAGGCUGCGAUCCGUAACUGG